UCAAUUAAGGCAAGCCGAAGCGAACUUCAUCACACACCGGUGGGAGCUUAAGCCCCUCGGCCGGAUACUCCACGUGCUGUGCUGCCGGCGAGACAGUGCCGGUAUGCAGCAGCGAGGGAGCGAGAACGAGAGGCACCGAACAUUGAGGAGCAAAAAAGGCCGGCAGUUGUCAAAAUUGACAAAUCGUGCGAACAGCGCGCCGGGCAGGGAGGAAGAGCGGUUAAGAUCGAGUGUACGGAUCAAACCACCUCAGUUCCAGAUACACCAGGUUCUCCUGUUUUGAAAGUGCCGUGGACUCGCGUCAUGCCUCCUGAUAAGUGGUGCGAUAGAUCCAUUAGUUGGUUCUUGGUGAGCUAUGAACUAAGUUGGUCGCCUUGGAUAUAUGUAUGACUCAGCGGGUUCUUCUGAACGUCAUCCGAUGCCAUCACUUGCUAGUAAAUUUUAUUUCUUGAAGACUACCUAAGAUUACUACAUCGCAAAGAUACUUCCGUCCUACUCAAACCUGUGCUGGAGUAAGAGGUGGAGACUUAUCAACAUCGCCAUCAUCAAUUGGAACGAUACCAAUAAAUGAAAUGAA